GACGUAGGGCGCGAGCGUUGUCCGGAUUUAUUGGGCGUAAAGAGCUCGUAGGCGGCUUGUUGCGUCGACCGUGAAAACCCGGGGCUCAACUUCGGGCUUGCGGUCGAUACGGGCGGGCUAGAGUUCGGUAGGGGAGACUGGAAUUCCUGGUGUAGCGGUGAAAUGCGCAGAUAUCAGGAGGAACACCGGUGGCGAAGGCGGGUCUCUGGGCCGAUACUGGCGCUGAGGAGCGAAAGCGUGGGGAGCGAACAGG
rnacentral:rRNA from 1 species